CAGGCUGCAACUCGCCUGCAUGAAGUUGGAAUUGCUAGUAAUCGCGAAUCAGAAUGUCGCGGUGAAUACGUUCCCGGGCCUUGUACACACCGCCCGUCACACCAUGAGAGUCGAUAACACCCGAAGCCUGUGAGCUAACCGCAAGGAGGCAGCAGUCGAAGGUGGGGUUGAUGAUUGGGGUGAAGUCGUAACAAGGUAAC
rnacentral:rRNA from 1 species